CUACCUGCCGCACACCACAGGCACUAAUCAAGACUCUACAGUACAAAUACCCAGGCUCUUCACUCCAUUCUUCGCCAGAUCGUCAGUUACCCUUUGUGGUAACAAGAGCGGCCAAAUCCAGUCUUGUGAACGCUGCCUGAUCCUGUUUUCCUUCUGUGCCUAGAAUUGCCUCCUUGUCAUCACUUCCUGACUGCCUGGCUGCCACACUCUCUGCCAUGCUGAACAAACCCUGGGACUGUACAUGUCUUCUCCUUUGUCUGCAGUCUCCACUCCACACCAGUCUUCAUCUCUCUGGACUACAAGAGACUGUUCCCCCUUCCCACCAUGAACUGAAAUAAACUGUUUGCCAUUUUCUUACCACUACUGAGUUUUGCAUUUUGGGUCCAGCUCUCUCUCGAGUAAUACCUACUACAUCUGAAUAAACAAGCCUGUUCACACAAAAACCUAAAGAUGCCCGGACAUGCAGUCUCUCCAACCCAGAGGACCUUUGAAAUCAGUUUGCUCGUUAAUAGUUGUCUCAUGGAGGCUCGGAGAGAGGAACGCUUGACAGAGUUUGAAUGGAGACACCAAAGCUCACUUUUGUCAAGUACUGAAAUUUUCAUUUUCACCAUCCUUACCUUACUGUAGCAUAAAAAACGUUUCCUGCUGCAUUUCCUUGCCAGUGCCCCCCCCUUUGUUUUUAUUGCAAAUUCAAGUUAAGUCAUGAGCGAGUUACUGAGUGUAUAUUCAGCUGCUGAUGAGAAAUGCAGUCUGUUGCACUGGAAAUGAAAUGUUCCGAGUUUGACUUAUGGUGUAGUGUUAAGAAAACACAGAGAUUUAUUAUCUUUCUAUUCCAAGUAUAUUGAUCUGUGACGUCUUAGGUUUCACUUGGUCAAGGUAAACUGAAUUUCAUGAUGGAAUCACUGGUGGUACAUUUGUGCAUCAUAACUUUGUGUUUAAGAUACAACCUAAGUUUACAUUUUCUCCUGAUGUGCGGCUCACAAUACACAGUAGAUCUCAUCUUUUACUGUAUUCCGUCGGUAAACACAUGGAAAACAUGUUCGAUAGAUCCAUCUAGGGCUGCAACUAAUGAUUAUUGUCUUUAUUGAUUAUUUUGGGGUUUUUUCAGUGAAUCCAUCGUUUGUCAGAAAUAGUGAAAGAUGCCCAUCAGCGUCCCUUGAGCUCAUGGUGACAUCUUCAAAUCGCUCAUUUUGUUUGAACAGUACAAACCCAAGGAUUCAAUUUAAGAUGAUGUUGACGCAUGACUUAAAUAAUUCAUUAGCAAAAUUGUUGUCCAUUAGUUUUCUGUCAGUCCACUAAUCGUUUAAGCGUUAGAUUCAUCUAUCUACCUGACAAUAUCUGCAGUUUUUCAUGUGUCUGUUCUAAUUCCCCAUAAACAGACUAACAGGAUGCAUUUAUAAUUAAUCCACUCAGCCACAGAGCUGCUGCUCUGCUUUGAGGCGUCCUGGAGGGGAGGACACACUGGGGUGAAAACAACCCUGUACUUUAAAAACAACUCAAAACAAAGCCAUUCAUCCCUGAGCUUGCCCUCUCCCAGCCACAUACCUUCACGUCCCGUCUCAAAGGCAUCUAAACAUAAAGGCAGAGACAGAGAGACGGGGCAGCACUGACAAAGGGCCCCUGAGCAGCCUCCCCUUUCACACAGGCCAAUAUAAAACCACCAGGUUCCAAGUCCAAGGAGAAAAAAUAAAUAAAUAUCCUCUCCACCUCUCAACCCUUAUUUUGUUCCUAUUGCUCAUUAUCUACAAAAUCAUUCCAGGGUGACAGAAAUAUUGUUGCAUCUGUGCUUCCUUGCAAUUAAGGAUGAAGUGAAGAGUAAACUCGCAAACAAAGGCAUGUGUGAAUUUUUUGCUCCUUACACUUUAUUUAUGUCAGCCCUUUAGGGGCGUUUUUAUUCAACUAUUACAAUGUACACUAUAUUUGCAUUCCACUUUGGCAAGAAAAUUCAAUAUGUAGACAUGUUUUUUCAACAACUUAACUGGAAGUUGGCAGCAGGCCAUACAGACAUACAUGGUGCCAUCUCUUUCGUCAACAUCUUUCAACCUCCAUUGAAGUUUUGUUUAUUUUUUUGUUCUUGCUACAAAAUAAUAAUAAUACCAAUUUUUUGAUGCAAUGGUUUGUGUUCCACUGCUGCAUAUUAUGUUAAUAUGUUCUGUUGCUUUAAGGUGCAGUUACCAGAAAGUGGUACAGUGAAGUCCAUGUGCGCAUCCUCAUGGAAUUGCCGGUGCUAGACGCUUGGUGACGUAACUACACGCAUGGCUUGUUUGUGUACUGUAGCCAUGUGAGUACAAACUUGGCAUUUUGUACAUCAUUUAAUUAAAUAUAGAGUUUUUCUCUUAAAUUAAUGUCUGCAAACCAUGCUUCGUUUCUGGAGUAGUUUAUACUAUGGCAGAGGAGGGCUGAAGUGGAUGGUGCAACACAGCUACAGUAUCAAAGCUACGAUAGCUUCCUGCAUUUUGGACUACAGCUCUUCGGUUCCUCAGAAAGUCAGCACUAUGUGAAGACUGUUUGCUAUUUGUCAGUGACACAAAAUACUUGAUUGGCAAAGCAAAUUAUGAACAAAGUGCAAUGCAAAAAGAGCACCUAGGUUUGUUUGUUUUUUACUACUUAGUGUUACAAUGUCAUAUUUAUUUCUCUUAAGCCAUAUAAAUGUUCAAACCUAUGUAUGAACUGACACUAAGUGCUACUCCGUCCUGGUCCUUUUCACAUGUAACCUGUCAAAAUGGCAAGUUAACUCUUCCUCCACAGGGGGAAAAAAGCAUUACUUCAGGUGAGACACAUGAAUGUCUGUUCAGGAAUUUACUCUCAUUUUCCUGUUAAACUCAUUCUAAACUCCUCUGGUUACGUGUCCUUUAAAUACCACAAAUUCAGGAUAACAAAGUGUGUUGGGGAUGGGGGGAGAGAUGCUUUAAGGCGACCUUGACAACUCUACUACCACAACACCCAAAGCCCAUUCACUGUCAAUAACACUGCACCAAUCCUAUUCACAAUGCCAAGGCCAGCAAUAAAACUCUUGAUAUUAAAAGUUUGGACAAAGGGGACUUUACGGGGUUACAAUUUAUGGUCGUUUUUGAAGUGAGCUCUCAGACACUCUUGUUGCUUGUGAAGGGUUGGAGCUUUCAUCACUUGAAGCAAAAAGAAAACUUUGCAUUUGUCAUUUUAAUGAGUAUUUUAAGUGUAGUCCAAGGGAUGGGGUGGGGGGAGGCAUAUGUAGCAUCUGGUAAACAGUUGAUAAAACAUUUGCAUUUCCUCUCAGGAUUAAGAAAAUUAAUGUAUUAAUAUAAAUUUCAAUUUUUUGGGAUUCUGCUGGUGCUGUUUCUCAAACUGACUUUCAGGCAGUCAACAUUAAAAUAAAACUUGAAAUUCUUGAUCACUACAUAAGAAUGAAAUUAAAUUAAUUGCCAGUAUGCAUUCCUAACAAAACACACUGUUGUCUCACAUCCACAGUUUGCUAAGUAGUUACUGGUUUGGAGAAGUGAAAGGCAGACAUCUGCAAGCAUGUAGCGUGCAGAAAAGUAUGUGUAAUGCAGAAAUAUAAGGUUUGAAGUGUGGCAUUCUCUCUAGUCUCUCCUGUUUUCAGAACAUAUGUAACAGCUGUUUUAUCAUAUUUUUUCAGUGUCGACUGGCUUGCUGUUUUUGGCUGUGCUUCUCUACGCUAAUUUCAUCAACAGAUGUUACUUUUCAGCUAUGUAGAGGAGGAAAUGGGAGAGAAAUAAUGAUCUGUCAUAACUCUGAAACAGUAGGUGAGAAUACUGUAGCCAGCGUAGAGGUCCUACUUCAUAUUUCAUGCAUCCUACUGUGCUAAUGCUGCACUUUUCCUCCAUGCACAUUGAGGGAGUGUUUUAAUAAUUUUUUGCCCCCAAAUGUUUGCUCAUAUUUUGAGCAGGGGCUAAUAAGGAAUGGUCAGGGUGACUCAAAGAAAUGAUCAGUUUUGUGCACAAAUGGAAUUCAAGUACGUAGAAAAGAAAACAUUGAGUACAUCUCAAGUCUUUUAAAUGCAUCCAUGUUUCCCUCACUUGAGUCUUUUCCAUGUCAGGAGGAAAGAAAAGAGGAAAUAUGUUUUUAGAAAAUGAGACGUCUUUACCUCUGAAGCGUCACGUGAAGCGUCACGUGAGCCUUUUGAGGGAGAUUGUGUCUGCACAUGUGCACUGUGCUAAUACUAAGAAAGGCACACAGUUAUCGCUGCCAGAGCAGUAGUGUGUUUUCUCUGUAGCCUGUUACCUGUUUAACAAACACCUGCACAUGAAUAACAACCUGCAUUCUGUAUUUAUACUGUGUACUGUGUCCUGCUCAGAGGCGCAGGAAUCAUUUCUAGACAGAAUGCAUUUAUUAUUUAUUCAUUAUUUGCAUCCGUAUUUACUGAUUCUGAAUUCAUUAUUGAACAACCCAGAAUAUGAUUAUGGUGUCCUUUGUACAUUUGAAAUUAUUUAUUAGGCUAAAUGUUUCAGGGAAAAUUGAAAUUAUGUAACUCAUCAAACCCAAGGCUUAGGAAUUAUCAGCCUCACACGUGACUGAAUGGAAAUGACGAUAAAUGUGAAGUGUUCUGUCUGACAGAAACUUUAAUUGUAUCCUUAGUAAAAGUUAAUGUGUGAAAUAACAUCAUGAAAACAAAAAUCUUUCUAAUAAAUGAAGAAAGUU